GACGAACGCUGGCGGCGUGCCUAAUACAUGCAAGUAGAACGCUGAAGGAGGAGCUUGCUUCUCUGGAUGAGUUGCGAACGGGUGAGUAACGCGUAGGUAACCUGCCUGGUAGCGGGGGAUAACUAUUGGAAACGAUAGCUAAUACCGCAUAAGAGUAGAUGUCGCAUGACAUUUGCUUAAAAGGUGCAAUUGCAUCACUACCAGAUGGACCUGCGUUGUAUUAGCUAGUUGGUGGGGUAACGGCUCACCAAGGCGACGAUACAUAGCCGACCUGAGAGGGUGAUCGGCCACACUGGGACUGAGACACGGCCCAGACUCCUACGGGAGGCAGCAGUAGGGAAUCUUCGGCAAUGGACGGAAGUCUGACCGAGCAACGCCGCGUGAGUGAAGAAGGGUUUCGGAUCGUAAAGCUCUGUUGUAAGAGAAGAACGAGUGUGAGAGUGGAAAGUUCACACUGUGACGGUAUCUUACCAGAAAGGGACGGCUAACUACGUG
rnacentral:rRNA from 1 species